rnacentral:rRNA from 1 species
AUGGCGGCCGCCGACGACGAUGGCCAGAUCGACGACGACGAGUUCUACGAGUACAACCCGCACCCCUACGGCGGCGGCUACGACAUCUCCGCCACCUACGGCGCCCCGCUCCCGCCCUCCACCUCCACGUGCUACCCCGUCUCCUCCCCCGCCGGCGCCCCCGCGCGCUCCUCUCCGCGGCCGCCCGCGCCCGCGCCCGUUGCUGCACCCGCCACGCCGCAGCCGGCACCGUCUUCGCCCGCGAAGCCUCGGCCGGCCCCAUCGCCAGAGCCGGCGAGGACACCGCCCUUUUCGCCCGUUCCGGUGCCGAUGCCGGUGCCGGUCGCGGAGCCGUUCUACUGGCCCAAGCCGCACGACUACGGGGACGCGCCGCGGUGGCCGCCGGUGUACCCCACGCCGGAGGUGUUCCGGCGCUGGCCGUACCUGGCGGCGGGGUCGCAUUGCUGCCACUCGCGAGGCGGGCCGCGCGACUACUGGAGGCAGUGCAUGCGCGGGCUGGACUUCCUCUUCGGCCACGCCGACGGGUACGGGGAGCGCCGGAUCGGGACCGACUGCCACGGGGUCCCCGUGUACGCCAACAAGAAGGGGGGAGUGGAGGACGCCGUGGUCGUCGAGGUGCCGCCGCCGGCAAUUGGGAGUGUGCAGUGGCACGACGCUGGCGAGGUGCCCGCGACUGGGAAUGCGCAGUGGCAUGACCACGGCGAGGUGCCGGCCAUUGGGAAUGUGCAGUGGCACGACCAUGCGGAGGUGCCGGCAAUUGGGAAUGUGCAGUGGCACGACGCCGGCGAGACGCACGAUCAGAGCAAUUGGCUAUCUUCGUACGACAAUGCAAAAGAGGAUACGUAUGCAUAUGCCCAUUCUACGUAUGGCUCGUAUGACACAUCCUACGAACAGUCUUACAGUGUUAAUGUUGUUUCGGAUGAACCUACUUGGUUUCCCAAUCAAAGCUACCAUGAUGUUUACAGAGAGGAGGAACCUCGGUAUCAGGAGGUUUUGCCCAGUUAUGGCAUAGAAAGCACAUUUUCAUCUCAACCUAUUUAUUGUUACAAUCAACACUCUGGUGAACAACCACUGCAUGUUCAGGUUGAGCCUCCGGAAACAUUUUAUUCUCACAAGUUGGAGUACCACGAGAAUUUCUCAACAUAUACCAACCAUAUUGAUAAUUCGGAGAUAUCGACACAGUCAUGUGAGAUACAGCCCUAUGCAUAUGUACCUGACAGCCCAGUUGAAGCUUAUCAACCUUCUUGGUCGAUGAAUUUGGGAUACUACCAGGACUCCGCAGAAGAGGUGACUCCUCAGUACGAUAAUCAUGCUUUCGAAUCUGGUGAAUAUGGAGGCAUGGCAAGCAUAUUCUCGUCUUCCUCCUAUCCUACUCAGCAAGUAGAAGUUUAUGAGCAGUCUUAUGGUGAUGAGUAUGUCUCCUUAGAACAAAAUUUCCAGAGCAACUGGAAUGCUUUUUCUGAAGAUACCUCUGAAAUCACUAAAUCAGUUGAUGGCAACCAUCUGAAUGGCUCCUUCUGGCCCUUUGGAGAAUACUCAACAUAUACUGUAUAG